rnacentral:lncRNA from 10 species
CCGCCGCCGCCGCCUUUGCCACUGCGAGAACUGUAGCGGUGCGACCCGGGAUUCCCUCCUCUCGGCGCCCCACCCUCGACUCCUGUUCCGCUGAGCGCGCCCUCCCCGGCGGGCGGAGACUGCAGCGCCGGGGGCUGAGGAAAGGUGGGUGGCGAAGCGCCGCCGGGCGCUUGGUGGCCGCUGCCGCCGCCACUGCAGCUGUGCACGCCCGCCUCUCGGAGGAAACUUGAAGCCAGCAGUACAAGCAGGGCUGGAGGCCGAGCGGAGCCAUCCGACCUUGGGACUAGGGAAACGUGGACUUGGUGGGCUAUUCUGCGCUGAAGAGGCAGCAACGAGGGCUCGGUGGUAUUGGUGUUGGUCCUAGUGGAAUUGUCAAGAGGAUGCUUUUGAAGUGGCCCAGCAUCUUGGAAGUUCACCAUGCUUGCUUUGCAAGAGAUUCCUGACGCUGCAGUGAAAGAGGUCCAGUCAUUCCAGAGAGAACUUCAGUUUCAGACAAGUCAUCAAAUCCAGAAAGCAAGGAAAAAUACCCUGAAAGACGACUGGCAAAUCUCGGUGAAAGAGUAGACGCACUUCAUGGAUUGGAGUGAAUCUUAGAGCACCUGACCUGAUGCCUGGAGGUACAGCAGCCAUCUUGUGACCAUAAGGAGGAAAUCAACGCAUUAAGAAGGGAAAAGCUAAGAAGAUACAGAGAGCAGGGACCACUGACAACAUGAUCAAGCCACUCUACCAGGCCUUAACUUCCUAUUCCCUGACUUCUUAUUGAAAGAGACAAUAAAACUUCUCAUUUGUUUUAACCCAUAGAAGUAAGGCAUUCUGUUACUUAUGGGUGAACACAAUUCUUAACUGAUGCCAUGGUUUAAUGGGAGUAGGGAUCCUGGUAUGACAGGAAAUUGAG